UUCUAUCAAAGUUAAACUUCCCAUAUAUAAACACAUCAAUAUACUAAUAGAGUGAUAAUCAUUGGUAAAAAUUUUAAGCCUAAGAAUUCUGAAAGAUAAACACAUUACCUUCAUUUGAGUACGCUUGUUUUGGAACCAAAAUUUUACUUGUAAAGGCUCCAAUCCUAAUUGACGUCCAAGCUCUUUCCUUUGUUUAUCAUCUGGGUGAGGGCAUUCCUUAAAAAAACUGUAAAUGAAAAUAUUUCGUGAAAAAAAUGAAUAAAUGUCUCUUAAUUAUUUAAUUCUGUCCGGCACUUGACUUACGCUUCCAUUUCUGUGAUUUGAUGCUGGGUAUGGCGAUGAUAACGCUUCUUUUUGGGUCGUGGAUUUGGAUCUCCAUCAUCACCAGAAGGUGCUUCCAUUAUAUCAGUCACCGAUUUGCUGUCGAAUUCAUCAUCCUUAAUAAGGUCCAUCUCAUUUUCUGGUGUUUUAUGGAUCAUGUCCAGCAAGGAAUGGUGGCUAUCAAACAUGUUUGGCUGAAACAUCAUGAUGUUCUUAAGUAACAAACUUAAAAUUUUCCAAUCAGCUGCAAGAAGAUGAACAAAAGAAUUAAGCGAAACAAUUUUAACAAAAGAUUAAUAUAAUUAAGAAAUAAUUAUAGUUUAAAACAAUUGACAUGAGAGACAAGCUUAAAAUUUUCCAAUCAGCUGCAAGAAGAUGAAACAAAAAAAUUAAGCGAAACAAUUUUAACAAAAAAUUAAUAUAAUUAAGAAAUAAUUAUAGUUUACAACAAUUGACAUGGCAGAACUAUACAUCAAGAAAAAAAGGAUUGCGCCAUAUGGAAUCUGGAAAUGCGAUUAGGGAAUAAAAAAAUUCUAUUAAGGCUCAGAUCUUGUGACUUUUGAGAGUGUGUAAUGUACGAAAAAAGGUGCUUUAGCGUUUAUAUCGAGAAUGAUUUCAUUGGAAGUACUUUUAUUCCCUACUUCUUUGUUUAAUCAGAUCUUGAAAUGGUUUGACUCUUGACACAAAACAGUAUAUCAUAAACACUUUUUAACAUGACAACGAAAUUAAUUUUUGUGGGAACCUGAUACUGUUCAUCAGAAUUCUGUUUAAAUUGUGAGAAAUAACAAUGUAAAAAAUGGUAUGAUAAGAGUAACUCUAUAUCUGUAUCUUGAAUUCUUCUUGCAUUCAGUGGAAUUUUAGGUUUGCAAAAUUCACUGACCUUUUUUAUAGGUUUUCAGACUCGCCUGAAAAUUCUUGGCACGAGACUUCUUCCUAUGCCCUUGAAGCUGCACAUCUUCACCAUGAAACCCUAGAAACUUCUCUCUCUCUCUCUCUUUAUAUAUAUAUCUUUCUCCCUCUAAAUUGAGGUCUAGCUUUUUGGUUUUGAUUUUGGUUUUGGUUUUUAGAAGGUAGUGCGUUGAGGUCAACAGAUUCUGUGGCAGUGUCUGAACAAAACAAAUGGGAUGGUUACAUGUAACAACAGACUGGAAUUUACUUAAUUCUGGUUAGUGGGUUCUCAAAGAAGACUUUCUUUCAUCUGUCCUUACAUGCCAAAUAAAGAACUAAAAGACCAACACGGAUUUGACACAGUGUGAAACCUUUGACGCUGGAAAAUUUUUCAAGCUGGCAUUUUAUUUAACGCCCACGUAUAUUUCGGUGGAGUUUUACUCUCCUCUUUUCUCCCUGCAAAAUAAAUGAAUAAAUAGGGGAUAAAGCAAUAUUAGAAUGCCAAAUUCAUCACAGAAAAUUAAACUUAAUUAUUCGCAAGGUGAAACCUGAAAAUCUGGUUUUAGAGAACUGAAGUGAGAAUAAACAAACAGUAUAACAAGUGUGUGUAGGUGUGUGUGGGUGUGGUCGUUUGACUUACUGUUCUUGAAAGUGGAUAGAAACCCUAUAAAACCCUAUUCAGGUUUUACGGUUAG
rnacentral:sRNA from 1 species